rnacentral:rRNA from 1 species
UACGAAGGGGGCUAGCGUUGCUCGGAAUCACUGGGCGUAAAGCGCACGUAGGCGGAUUGUUAAGUCAGGGGUGAAAUCCUGGAGCUCAACUCCAGAACUGCCUUUGAUACUGGCGAUCUCGAGUCCGGGAGAGGUGAGUGGAACUGCGAGUGUAGAGGUGAAAUUCGUAGAUAUUCGCAAGAACACCAGUGGCGAAGGCGGCUCAACUGGCCCGGUACUGACGCUGAGGUGCGAAAGCGUGGGGAGCAAACAGG